rnacentral:rRNA from 1 species
UAGGGAAUCUUCCACAAUGGGCGAAAGCCUGAUGGAGCAACGCCGCGUGGGUGAAGAAGGUCUUCGGAUCGUAAAACCCUGUUGUUAGAGAAGAAAGUGCGUGAGAGUAACUGUUCACGUUUCGACGGUAUCUAACCAGAAAGCCACGGCUAACUACGUGCCAGCAGCCGCGGUAAUACGUAGGUGGCAAGCGUUAUCCGGAUUUAUUGGGCGUAAAGGGAACGCAGGCGGUCUUUUAAGUCUGAUGUGAAAGCCUUCGGCUUAACCGGAGUAGUGCAUUGGAAACUGGGAGACUUGAGUGCAGAAGAGGAGAGUGGAACUCCAUGUGUAGCGGUGAAAUGCGUAGAUAUAUGGAAGAACACCAGUGGCGAAAGCGGCUCUCUGGUCUGUAACUGACGCU